rnacentral:ncRNA from 2 species
UGAAAGAAUAUGAUAAUAGGUCCCGCAUCGGGUUAAUAGGGAAGUACGGUGUAAAACCGUCACAGCCCCCGCUACUGUAAGUGAUGACGAAACCUCAUAAAGCCACUGGAUCAACGGGAAGGCGAGAGAGAGUAGGGUGAUUCACGAGUCAGGAGACCUGCCUAUUAUUUGCUGUUACU